CUAUGGUCUGUCACACCCACACCUGUAAGGAGUACCAGAAGGGAGAUGGAAGAAAGUAUAUUAUAUAAUAAUAUAUAUAUAAGAAAGUUCUGAUCCUGUUCUGUAAGUCAGCAACAGGUCUACACUGUUGGUUAAGGGCUUGUCAGUAAACAUUUCACUGUGAGGUCUACACUGUUGGUUAAGGGCUUGUCAGUAAACAUUUCACUGUGAGGUCUACACUGUUGGUUAAGGGCUUGUCAGUAAACAUUUCACUGUGAGGUCUACACUGUUGGUUAAGGGCUUGUCAGUCAGCAUUUCACUGUGAGGUCUACACUGUUGGUUAAGGGCUUGUCAGUCAGCAUUUCACUGUAAGGUCUACACUGUUGGUUAAGGGCUUGUCAGUAAACAUUUCACUGUAAGGUCUACACUGUUGGUUAAGGGCUUGUAAGUCAGCAUUUCACUGUGAGGUCUACACUGUUGGUUAAGGGCUUGUCAGUCAGCAUUUCACUGUAAGGUCUACACUGUUGGUUAAGGGCUUGUAAGUUAAGCAUUUCAC